UGUCCUUGACAUAAGAAAAUUUACCACAUAAACACCUGGUAGAGAGUAAAUAUCCAUAAUACACAGAACUUAAAGAAGCUAAAAUUAAGAGAAAAAGAAACUUACUACUACUACUACUACUACUACUACUACUACUACUACUACUACUACUACUACUAAUCACCUCAGGCUAUAGAUUGGACGUUAGCAUUUCUAACAUAAUCUGGGAAUUGAGAAUAGGGUGACAGCAUCCAAAACAUCAGUGGUCUGAGGCUGCAGUAGCACAGUGAAGCAUGAAAUAUUAAAUGACAUCUCUUUUCUUAAGGGUUAGCAUUAACAUUUGAUAUGGGGCAUGGAGUUUUUAAAAUAGUAAUAUACUUAGGGUGCAUAGACUAAACCUUCCAGCUGCUCAUUCUUUCUCCAUGUAGAUAAAAAAAUGACUCAGGAAGACUGUGAAUGUAACUAAUUGAUAAUUAGAAGGAAAAAAACCCAAAAUAUCUAUUAAAGUAAGUGUUUCUGACAGGUGUGAAAGAAAACUGGUUUGUUUACUACUUGAUGCUAGUUAUCAGAAAAUCAUAUUCUUGAUACUUCAAUGCUGAAACUUGAAUACUUAGUUCCAGGAGACAUCUUGCUUUGGCAAUGAGAUUGAUUACACCAGAAGACAAAAUUCUUAGCCUGGGUUCAGUAGAAAUUUUGAGACUUUGCUGGGGCAGUCAGUGAGGUCUACCUUCUCCCUAAGAUGCAGAAGGGAAAGCUGGUGACAAGGGAAAGUAUCCUUGAAAAUGAGCACUGAUCUGUCCUGUGCUUAGGGACAACUGCCCCUCCCAUAGAAGACAUCCAAGAGACAAAUUCAUACCCAGCCAAGCUGCAAGUCAUGUCACAGUGCCAGUCUGGUUGGCUGGGCAAAUGGUUCCUCUAAGAAAAUUGUCAGUGAUAAGCAAAAUCUUGUUUCAUUACCACAUUUCUGUAUCUGUAUCCUGUUUAGAAUUAUUAAACAAAUUGUAUUUUUUGAAUAGUUGAUGCUGAAACAGUAGUUGUGGAGAAUCUACUGUAGAGUGGCUAGCAUGGCAUAGUGGGAGGUCCUAACUUGGUAAAGUGCACAGUCACAAGAAACCAAAUAUGCUGGACUGACUUAUUAGGUCACAGGCUAAAGGUUGGUUUUGGAAAUUCCAUUCAGCACAGAAUGGGGCUGCCAAUGGGUCACAUUCUGUCUUUCUUGGUAUCACAAGGGUGGGACAGGGGCCAGAGCAAAAGCGCGUCAGUACCCCGGAGCUCUUGACUCUAGCUGCGUAUGUAUCAAAAGAUGGCCUAGUCAGCCAUCACUGGAAAGAGAGGCCCAUUGGACACGCAAACUGUAUAUGCCCCAGUACAGGGGAACACCAGGGCCAAAAUAAUGGGAAUGGGUGUGUAGGGAAGUGGGGGGGGUAUGGGGGACUUUUGGGAUAGCAUUGGAAAUGUAAUUGAGGAAAAUAUGUAAUAAAAAUAUUAAAAAAAAGAAAGUUGUGUGUCUGUGGGUGGGAAGGAUUUUCUUUCUACUUCAGUGGCUCCUUUAGGAACCACUGAUUCAUUCUGGGGUGUGAGCUAAUCAAUAAUUGGAGGGAUAAAAUUAAAUGGCCAUUAAAAUAAUUGCUGAGGACAGGUGUGAAAGAAAACUGACCUGAUUACUGUUUUCUCCCUCUCUGAGUGAAGUUAAUAUGUGGGUAUACAUUCCAGGAGAGAUGGAAGCAUUCAGACCCUCCCUAACUAGUCUUUUGACUUCCCACUUCAUUCAGUGUCUAUAUACAUUCAGCCUAUAGGCUCUGACUUCAAAACACGAAUAUUAUGUUUUUUGUCAAUCCACAUGAUUUGAUGCUAGCAAGUCAAAGUUAAUGUAAACACUGUUUUUUGUUUAAUUCCAAAAUAUCUUUAAAAUGCUAGCCCUUGAACAAAAAUCUACAAAUUAUGCAUGCUGAAGCUAAAAAGUACAGCAAACAAUAAAAAAACAUUUUGGACUAGAAACCAAACAGAGCUUUGCCCUUCGUACAGUGGAUAAAGCCAGCAGUUGCAACCUGGCAGACUUAUAGAGAUGGUGGGCAGUGAAGAGAACUAAUGAGAAGCUGUUUAGCAUGUAAACAGUAAAGGCCUGUACAGUCCAGGAUAGAAAAGCUGAAAGCAUGUGUUAUAUUGAACUAGGAUGCUGUAGCCAUUUUCACACCUGGUGGUAGUCUUCUAGGAUCACAGUUAACUCCAUCUUGUGAGCAUUUGGCAUUUCUGUCACAUAAAAGAUGUGAGACAGAGACAGCUUUCUGUGAGUUUAAAGAUAAGAAAAAAAAUUGCCACAAAUCAGUUGUGGCACAGUGGAUUUCAGUUUAGAAGAGUGGAGUAUUCGUUGCACCCCCUGAUUCUACACUGGUGAGUUAUACCCUGGGAUCUGAACUCUGUAGCUACUGACACAGAGGGUGGCAAGAGGCCCAUCUCAGAUGUGUGCACACUGAGUGCACACACUAUUUUGUCCAUUAUUCUCGAAACAGUACCGUUUACCAGCUACUUACCUAGCAUUGGUACUCAGCCUCAGAAGUACAGGGAUGCAAAGGAUGUCUAUGUGCUGUUUAUAAAUUCUACGUACAUUUAGCACUCAUGAUUUCAGGUUGUUUUUUUCAGUGACUUGGGGGAAAUUGUGCUCAUAACUUGAUAGUGAGAUGUUGAGUUGUAUGUUCCUCCCUAUAAUUCCUAUAACUUAAAUGGCUAAAUCCUGUGAAUUUAUUGCUAUUCGAUACAGUCUGGUAGCAUGGAAAGACGCAAAUGUUUAUUUAUGUUUAGAUAUGGCACAUAGCCAACAGAUAGAGUGUCAUCCAGUGAAUAUAUAUUCAGAUGCAUCAAAACU
rnacentral:lncRNA from 1 species